GGGGAAUAUUGCACAAUGGGCGCAAGCCUGAUGCAGCGACGCCGCGUGAGGGAUGAAGGCCUUCGGGUUGUAAACCUCUUUCAGCAGGGAAGAAGCGCAAGUGACGGUACCUGCAGAAGAAGCGCCGGCUAACUACGUGCCAGCAGCCGCGGUAAUACGUAGGGCGCAAGCGUUGUCCGGAAUUAUUGGGCGUAAAGAGCUCGUAGGCGGUUUGUCGCGUCUGCUGUGAAAACUUCAGGCUCAACCUGGGGCUGGCAGUGGGUACGGGCAGACUAGAGUGCGGUAGGGGUGACUGGAAUUCCUGGUGUAGCGGUGGAAUGCGCAGAUAUCAGGAGGAACACCGAUGGCGAAGGCAGGUCACUGGGCCGCAACUGACGCUGAGGAGCGAAAGCAUGGGGAGCGAAC
rnacentral:rRNA from 1 species